rnacentral:lncRNA from 1 species
UUCCUGUUAACUUCUAAAAUGUGAGUAUGAUGCAAAGACAUUUGUUUCUAGUUAAGACUUCGACUGAGGGGGUAAAUAAAAGGGUGAGGAGAUGUCUGAACUUUGAAACACCACCACCCCAGAAGAGAGCAGAAAAAUGUCAAAAUGAGUAAUCCAGGAGUUGAAAGGAGUCUAAAAUCUAGGCACUGUUUCUCACGACUUGGAGGCUAAUGUUUACUUGCUUUCUCUCAGGCUGUGUUGUCCACUGGGAAAGCAGCAGAAAUACCUGUCAGGCAGGAACCCCUGAAGUGGGCAACACAAGAAGCUCCUUUUAUGAAGGUGCCAAUUGCAAGUAUUCAAGAGUCCUGGAGCACUGUGACUUCUCCUGAAUUUGCUGAUUUUGCAGUGUUUAUAGGAAUAGAGCUGUCUUCAAGAGCAAAAGCAAGACUUCUGGGAUGAUUCAGAGAAAGAACUGGAAACUACAAAUUUUAAGUUUUUUUUUUCCUUUUAUGAGCAAUUUAAAUUGGCAGAGAAACACAAUCAAGCAACUUCAAAGGUGUGAUUUUAUGGAGAUUUAAACACUACAGCACUAAACACUGUUUAAGAAAGAAAUUUGUAAUUAAGUUUCCUUAUUAUUUAUAGUUCUAAUCAUUGGAAGACAGUUCCAAAGAAAUGCCAGGAAUUUGCUUUUUUACAAAGUAGCACUUAUAAGCUUCCAGAUUAAAAUACUGAACAGAAGAAGGCGAGAAGGACUCCAGUUUGUGAUAUGGAAAAGCAGAGACAAACAUGGCUGAGAGAUCAUUAAUUGCUUGCAUCUGACUGCAGCCCUCUAACCUGAGUGUGAGGGACUGUGCCACAGAUUCUAUGGAAGGAACAGGAAAUUACCAAUGUCUGUAACUCUUCUAUUUUACACCUGCUCUCUGUUUCAUUGUAUAGCUCUCUCUCAUAGCAUCGAGCUCUGCUUCAAUUACCCAGAGUCCCAGGAACUCCUGGCUUUUGAGUAAAUCCAUUCAAUUGCUUUACUUGCUAGUAUAUCAAUAAAAACUGGAAUCUAGUAAAAAUGGGAUUGUUU